ACACGUACGAGCAAUCUUACUUUUACAUAUCAUUUUCUUGGGUCUUAACCCAUUGUUCGUUAGAGCACUAAUUGAAAAUCCAACUAGUCGCACUUGGCACAUUAUGCCUUCUUGGCGGCGACCCUAGUAUCUGUGUUUCCUCAAUAUCCAACUAAGCUUUCUUUCUUAUUAACUCAUUCCCUUUUAAGGGAUUUUUGCAUUACAAUUCGAUAUUGAUUACGCGCCCACGUACACGCCAUGAGCACUAGUGGGGCGAACAAUAGUUUAUCUACUUAUAAACUUUAGAGCUCGCCAUACGUCAGGCUUUACUUUACCUUGACCUCGUCUAAUCAUCGGGCCUUAUACUUAGGUCAGAGGAGUUUUUCUUUCUUCUUUAGCCCUAGAUAAAGGAAGAGACAGAAAAUAUCUUGUCCUACCUUUCUUGAGCUCUUUGAUCUGACUUAAGCUUUUAUUGGGACUUGAUAAAUUUCACAUCAAUCAUUCGGUGAUCUUAUCCAAAUCUACAAAUUUCAAGGAAACUAAUCGAGUAUUUUUCUCUUAGUUCUUAACUAUCUUAGUUCACGUUCAAUUGAUUCCUAGCUCUCUUUUCCUUAAAGCUUAACCGGCUCAAGGCCAACAUUACAGAGUGCUCUCCAAUGCUGACAUAAGCUUCUUAUUUCAAGGUUCGUUCUCUUAUAAUGGAAUUUUCCCAAACUAUGUAUGCCAAAAAAGGCUUUUGGGGCGAGUCCUCCCUUACUAGACAAAGUUCCAGUUUAUUGUGCCAUCCCAGUGUUCGCCAAUAUCAAGGCGUUAUGUACGCACUCACAUAGCUCUUAUUCUUAGAAUAGUUUUAACAGUAUUCACUUCUUCAUCUAUCAUAUCCUUCUCAUCUAUAGAACAGUACUCGAAUACUAAGACUCCGUUGGGCGAGAUGUUACAGGUCAUAUAUUACAAGGUGAGGUGAGGUGCUCUAUGUUGCAGGGUGAGAAGGAAAUGAUGACUAAGAGUUGCUUGCUCAUGGUAGUUAAGAACCCAGACAGGAGUUUUAGCCUCUUUGCUUCAUAGAAAAAGCUUUGUUCCUUGUGUUAGCACGUCUAAACAUGGGCACCAAAGAUGAGAGAGAAAUCAGAAAUGUGUAUUCGCCAGCUUAAUCUCCAGGCCCAAUUUCAACCACAUUGACCAGCAUAGAAAAAACCCCUCACAUCAUCCUGCCGCUGCCUUCACUGCAGCACGUCAUAACAGCCAGCGCAGGCGUCAAAUCACAUUGACUUGAAUAAGUGCAGGAGGCUUGACAUAGCAGUCACCAACACUGCCGGUGUGUUUUCAGCUGCUGUUGCUGUGGUUUGUUUAUUGACGUACUUAGAAAAUUUCUGCUGCUGGUCGGUACGUUAGACAUGGUCUUUGGUCCGCCGAAGGAGACUAUCCUGUUGGUUCGAAGUCGCUCGUUGAUCUUUCGGCAUGACUACCACGCAUUCUGUUGACUCUUAUUCGGUUGAGCUGAGUGGCUCUGUGUUUACUGGUGAUCGGAUCAUCAUUUCGUUUCCUCGACACGAGGUGGUGAAGCUUGACGAGGGCACCUUUGUUCAAUGGCAACAGCAGGUGAGGUUCAUUCUUGCGGUUAUGACUUAGCUGGAUUUCUUGAUGGUACCGUAUCUGCUCCGAUGCGGUUUAUUCAAGCACCUGAUGGAGGUCUUGUUCCAAAUUCGUUUGCCGCGAUUUUCACUCAACAAGAUAACCUCCUCACCUCGUGGUUACUUUCCAUGAUUAGUUCGUCGUUUCUAUCUUCUUUCACGGAUGUACAGACCGCGAGUGAUGUGUGGCUGACGGCGACUAGUUUGUUUGCGGCUGACACUAGUGCGAAGUAGUCUCAGCUUCGUCACGAGUUGCAUUCCCUCAAGAAAGGUAGUCUUUCUAUCCGAAACUAUGUUGACAAAACAAAAGGGUUAUGUGCUCUUCUUGCAAUGUCUGGUUCUUGGAUUCUGGAGGCCGAAAGAAUAGCAGUCAUGCUUGCAGGGCUGCCUUCCGAGUUUGAUGGCUCUGUUGCCGUUUCAGCGUUUGGUUGAUGCACUUAUUGAGUGCGAGGCUCGUUAGGCGAGGAACGUUGAAGAAGUUUUGUUUGCUGCGAAUCUGGUGGAAGGAUCACAGUCGCAAGUGGUGGAUGGAUCUCGUGGUGGUCGUCCGCCUGCUCGUGGUCGCGAAAGGGGCUUUCGUUCGCAUCUCCAAUGUCAGAUCUGUGGAUAGUAUGGUCAUCUAGCACAAAGGUGCUAUUAUCGAUACCAUCGUGAUGAGACGUCGCCGGUGAUGACUCUGGUGCCGCAACAAGGUGGUCUGUCUUCUGGGUACCCUUCAUCUCAAGAAGCUUUUGGGGGAGAUGGUUGGAUCGCUCAACAUCCCCAACACCCUAGAGUUGGAUAUGAAGUCGGUCAAAAUUGGGGUGCUGGUCAAAUUUUUUUUCAAGAGCCAAAGGAAUUUAAUCAUUGUAUUCGGCCGAAUAGUGGGGUGCUAGGCAUGUUUGCUUGUGAGCCAUGUGCAACAAAUGUGCCACUUGGGGCAUGGUUUUCAUGGCCACAUGGUAGUAGAUCGAGCAAUGAUGGGCCUAUUUUUGGACUUCAAAGGCCGAAUGAACCUGUUACUAACAAUGUGCAGUUUGGUUUGAAGCCGAUUGGUGGUCAAUCGGCAAUUCCUUGGCACAUUAAGCCGCGAGCUCGUGUUUACUGCGGGUCUGAUCCGUGCAUCAGGCUUCCUCGUUACCGAUAGGUACCACGUCGUGGUAUCUCGAUUCAAGUGCCAGCAAUCAUGGCUGUAGGGAUUCGUCCGCUCUGAAUGAUGCUACCCCGUAUUAAGGUAAAAAUCUACUAUCUGUAUCUCAGUUUGCCACUGACAAUGGUGUGUUUUUUGAAUUUCACUCAACAUAUUGUGUUAUUAAGGACAGCGUGACACGAGAAAUCUUGCUGAAGGGUCAAAUUCGUGAUGGGCUGUAUCGUUUUUCCUUACCAGGAACGUCUGUUUAAAAUGGCGUGGCUCACAAUAUUGUAGCUCCUUUUAUUGCUCACGUGGGAAUUCAGAGAUAGAUUGGUACAAAUGAUAUUUUUUUGUUGUGGCACAAAUGUCUUGGGCAUCCGUCCGUGUCGAUUGUCAAAUAUGUUUUUAAUAAGUGUCAUAUUAAUGUCAAUAAAGUUUCUCUUGAUAAUGUUUGCCUUGCUUGUAAAAAAGGAAAGUUUCAUAAGUCGUCUUUUUUCUGAUUCGACUACUAAGUAUAGUGAUCCUUUUGCUUUGGUUGUAUCGGAUCUUUGGGGACCUGCGCCCGUUGCUUAUGAUAAUAACUAGUACUAUGUGACGUUUAUUGAUA